rnacentral:piRNA from 2 species
UGACUUCAUAAAUUGAAGAGACACUGAAC